GGAAGGAACCCCCACCCCCAGCCAAGGGAAGCGGUCUAGGAGUAGUAGAGAGACCAUAUGUUCCUCAAUUAGGCACAUAUAAUGUGAUACCCUUAAAUAAUGAACAAAGUUCAGGGCCAGUCCCUGAAACGGUGCGAAGCUAUUUUCCUGAGACUUGGAUCUGGGAGUUGGUGGCAGUGAACUCAUCAGGUGUGGCUGAGGUAGGAGUAACAGUCCCUGACACCAUCACCGAGUGGAAGGCAGGGGCCUUCUGCCUGUCCGAAGAUGCUGGACUUGGUAUCUCUUCCACUGCCUCUCUCCGAGCCUUCCAGCCCUUCUUUGUGGAGCUCACAAUGCCUUACUCUGUGAUUCGUGGAGAGGUCUUCACACUCAAGGCCACGGUCCUAAACUACCUUCCCAAAUGCAUCCGGGGAAUGUGAACUUCUCAGUGAGUGCAGAGGCAAUGCAGUCCUUAGAACUCUGUGGAAAUGAGGUUGUUGAGGU
rnacentral:lncRNA from 1 species